AUGUAGGGUGAAAAGAACCAUGUGUCUGGUUCUUCUCCUGCCAGUACAUAGCCUCUCCACCACAAAGACCCCUGCAGUGCCUCCACGUGGCCACACACGGAAACUGGGUACUUUAUUGAUCCAGGCCAAACUGCGGGGGAUCUCGGAGCAACAGUGGGCCCCAGAGACGAAGUGCAAUACCCCACAAUAUGUGGACAUUUCUUGGCACUCGUUAACCACUGUCCCAGCUAUGGAAAGUCAAGCGGACGACCCCGGACAUGUUGUAGGGAGUUUGCCUCUCCGUUGGUAGCAGAGCUGGAGGAGGUGUCCAUGGAGACGGAAGUCUGGGACUCUUAGCUGAGACCUCUGCCCCCGAGAAGCUGUUCCUGAAUGGAGUUGAAGACGACGAUUUUCAAGUCCAUCCUCCAGAGGUCAUCUGGGAGCAUGGUCGGUUGGGCUGCUCUGCUGAUUGCCUGCACCUGUUUCUCAUCAGGUCAAGACUACUAGGAGUUGGCUGCCUGCACUUUAAUGCCAGAAUAUUAAUCUUAAGUGGAAACAAAAGCCUUUGGAUUUCGUUCCCAAGCAAUCUUCCUCCACGACAAUUCACUACGGAUUAAUUGUGAUCUCUUGGUACAUCUACAGGCUGGAAGCUACUGACUCCUCUCCUCAGUUUACUGUGUUCAAACCUGAUCCGCCUUCACCAUGCUCACAAGACUCACCUUCAUCCUCUGGCCCAACACUCGGACCCCAUCUCACUCCCCCGAGGCGGAUUCAUCUGAUGUUCCAAAGUCUCCUGCCGCACCUGCCCCUUGGCAUCAUGAUUUUCAAUACUUAUUUUCUGUAUAAAUAAACUUUUAAAAGACUGCAUUGUCUCCUGUGAGUGUUCUGCAUGUGGGUUAGGCAAAUACCUAAAAUCAUAACAACUUGCAGGCAAUUUAUUGAUGGACCCACACUGGAUAUUAC